AAAAUCAAAUUAAAAUUAUAAAACAUAAAUAAAAAGAUUUGUUACCUGAGUUGAAGCAUUGGACAAUUUCUUUUAUCAUGUGCUUGUCCAAUUUUUCCACAUCCACGACACAUUCUCGGUUUCUGUUUUUUGGCCUCCCUAAUGCUCUUUCUUUUCCUCCUUUGAGCCUUUUUCCGCACCCCUUUGCCCGCACUUGACUCGGUUCUUGAAGCAUAUGUUCAUAUGUUGAACUCAAUUUCACUGAACUAAGUAUAUCAAGACAAAUUUUUU
rnacentral:lncRNA from 1 species